CUCUGGCAGUUAUCGUUAUUGGCUCGUAGUUCUAGUUCUCUGGCAGUUAUCGGGCUACCACCACAGGUAACCUGGAAGCUGGUAACGGAAUAACUGUGUGUGUAGACGUUCCUGACUCGGUGACUCCAGUUAAAGGUCGUAGUUCCAGGUGAUAUUUCCAGAGAGGAUAGUAACUGGAGCGAACAAAUAUUUUCGUACUGCUAUGGAAACUACAGUGGGCCAUCGGGGAGAGGGGAUGGCAAAUAACGGGAAUCUUAUCAUCUCAUUUCUUUGUGCGGUAAGAAGUUAUCGUACAAAUCGACGACGACGAAUUUAAAGAAACAUCUUCAGAAAUCACAUUUAAUUGUGAAUUUCUCUUCACAGAUACCUUCGGAGCUAGAUUUGGGUGAAACCCUUCCUGUAGAGGUGAUCCUUGGCACCAGUAGUGUGGAAGAGGAGCGAGAGGCACACCAACACCAGCAGAUGAGUCUCCGUUUAAUACUUGGGAUAUUAUAACAGUAAGUUAUAGCUCCAGAAGUCAGUCACCAGCAGCAGAUGUCACACAGUUAUAAAAUGGGAAACUUGAAGAAUAAGCUCCAGAAGUCAGCAGCAGCAGCAGUCACACAGCCAUAAUGCGAGAAGCUUGAAGAAUAAUGUGUUAUGGCUCCGAUAGUCUUCCAGCAGCAGCAAAUGUUACACAGUCCUAUAGAGGCAAACUUGAAGUAUAAAGUAAUAGUGUUUUACAUACAAUGGCAAACUUGACCUUUCGCUUAAAAUGGAGAACUUAAUUUCAGUAUCGGCUUUGAAAUUUGGUCACUGGAUACAACUAUAUUAUCUUUCAUGUUGAUAGCAGCAAUCAUCAGAUUGCAAUCCAGUUAAGUACCUGUGAGGCAUGAGAUGUCAAAAAUACUUGUGGGUUAUUGGUAGCCUGUGUCAAGGCAUGUGGCACCUCAAAGUUUGUAAGUACAGUAGCAUUUUGUUUUCUGCUUUACUUAAAAAUUGGUAGCUGUAGCACCCAUUCUGACAUUCAAUUAUUUUGAAUUUCAAGUUUCUUAGAAUGAUACUGACAUCAGUUUAACACUAAUCCGUAUAUUAUUGUUAAUAUAUGCUGCUAUUUUCCUCAGAUGUUAACUGAAAUUGUUUUAUUGUUAUGAUAACAACACUUCAGCCUUUGCAAACUUGCAGUAUAGGUUACCUGCUGAGAAAUAUUUACUGGAAGAAAUGGUUUCUUGAAUAGGACCGAAAGGAAAACCACUGAAAAUGCCAAACGUGAAUUGGUGAAACAUCUUGUGCUCAAUACUAAAUUUCAUUUGCAAAACAUGGAAGUUUUCCUAUCUUUGUGGUGGAACACAACAAAUUCUCAUAAUUUUGCUAGUUUGUAUUCUAGAAAGGGUGCCAGAAAUGGAAGAGUAUAAUUUUUAUUAAAUCGGGCAUUAAAUGUAAGUAGGUUGGAGUACAGAAAGGGUGCAACUGGCCUUCCCCACUGUAGCCUGAUGUGCUCCAACAUGCAUUUGUACUGAUGUGCAGGUGGUUAUAACACUAGUACCAAACUGCAUGGUACCCACUUACUAAUGUGACCUACCCUUGCAUGAUCUUCUGCAGACAGCAAGAAAUCUGCUACUGCACUUACUACCUGUCCAACAGUUGUGGAGGAUUUUUUCCCCUUGGUGCUUGACAUGACAUGUUUUGCCCUCUGCCCUUAAAAUCGCAAUUCUUGUUACAUUUUUCAUCCAUUUUCUAUCUCCUGAUGGACCUGUAUUGAUUAAAAAACUAAUCACUGCAGAGGUGAUUGUAGAGCUUUUGCUAGUGGCAGUGUGGAGGGGCUCCACUCUUUAAAAAAUAAAAUUACAUUGUGGGACAUGGAAUUAUUAUUAGAUGCUUUCAUGGACAUUUUGUUUACUGAAAAAGUCAGUCAUUAUCUGAGGUAUUUAAAUGUUAACUUCAAAUCUAAAACUGCAUCAAAAGAUAAAUUUCAGUAAAUCUUUAACAAGUUUCAGUAUCUUGCUUCACAUGCUGGACCCUCCAACUAUAAAAAACAGUGUUUUGCAGAGAAUAGCUAUUCAGAUGUUAACAUCCCAGAAUUUGUGUAGAAGAUAUCCCUUACAUUGUUAGUUUCAUUGUGGUCACACUCUACAGUGUAGUGUUAUCAGCAUACAUAUAGAAGUUUGAAGAACAUAUUAAAUUAAUUGCUAGACAUGCCUUAAGUGAAUAUGUUUACUACUAAUAUGAGUCAGCUAAGUAGUUGCUCCAAGUUUUUAUGUUGUUUCUAAAGUGUCUUUAGACAAGGAUAUUUCU